rnacentral:rRNA from 1 species
UGGGGAAUAUUGCACAAUGGGCGCAAGCCUGAUGCAGCCAUGCCGCGUGUAUGAAGAAGGCCUUCGGGUUGUAAAGUACUUUCAGCGAGGAGGAAGGCGUUGUGGUUAAUAACCGCAACGAUUGACGUUACUCGCAGAAGAAGCACCGGCUAACUCCGUGCCAGCAGCCGCGGUAAUACGGAGGGUGCAAGCGUUAAUCGGAAUUACUGGGCGUAAAGCGCACGCAGGCGGUCUGGCAAGUCGGAUGUGAAAUCCCCGGGCUCAACCUGGGAACUGCAUCCGAAACUGGCAGGCUAGAGUCUUGUAGAGGGCGGUAGAAUUCCAGGUGUAGCGGUGAAAUGCGUAGAGAUCUGGAGGAAUACCGGUGGCGAAGGCGGCCCCCUGGACAAAGACUGACGCUCAGGUGCGAAAGCGUGGGGAGCAAACA